GCCCUGCUAGCUCAAUCGGUAGAGCGUGAGACUUUUAUAUAAGCGGGAUUAUUAAUUGGUCACGUGACCGCAAUCUCAAGGCUGCGGGUUCGAGCCCCGCGUGGGGCU